UGCUUAAAGCAGGCAUAUGCCUUGAAUACUCCAGCAUGGAAUAAUAUUAAAGAUUUUUAUCUUUCUUAUGAGUUCUAAGAUAAAAAUAAUGAUUAAUAGGGACAGUUGGGGGCAUUUGUAUUUAACAGUCAGAGGUGAAAUUCUUAGAUUUGUUAAAGACAAACUAAUGCGAAAGCAUUUGCCAAGGAUGUUUUCAUUAAUCAAGAACGAAAGUUAGGGGAUCGAAGACGAUCAGAUACCGUCGUAGUCUUAACCAUAAACUAUGCCAACUAGAGAUUGGAGGUU
rnacentral:rRNA from 1 species